rnacentral:piRNA from 1 species
UGACAGUGAGCUCUCAGGAGACCUGGUGGU